UACAGAGGUCCCGAGCGUUGUUCGGAUUCACUGGGCGUAAAGGGUGCGUAGGUGGCGAGGUAAGUCGGACGUGAAAGCUCGGAGCUCAACUCCGAAAUGGCAUUGGAAACUACCUUGCUCGAGGGUUGGAGGGGGGACUGGAAUACUUGGUGUAGCAGUGAAAUGCGUAGAUAUCAAGUGGAACACCAGUGGCGAAGGCGAGUCCCUGGACAGCUCCUGACACUGAGGCACGAAAGCUAGGGGAGCAAACAGG
rnacentral:rRNA from 1 species